UCCUACGGGAGGCAGCAAUUAGGAAUCUUGCGCAAUGGGCGAAAGCCUGACGCAGCGACGUCGCGUGACCGAUGAAGUCCUUCGGGAUGUAAAGGUCUUUUUUGGGGGAAGAAGGAUGUGACGGUACCCCAAGAAUAAGCCCCGGCUAACUACGUGCCAGCAGCCGCGGUAAUACGUAGGGGGCGAGCGUUGUCCGAAUUCACUGGGCGUAAAGCGCGCGUAGGCGGGUUAUUAAGUUGGGGGUGAAAUCCCAAGGCUCAACCUCGGAACUGCCUCCAAAACUGGUAGCCUUGAGGUAUGGAGAGGGAAGUGGAAUUCCUGGUGUAGCGGUGAAAUGCGUAGAUAUCAGGAGGAACACCUGUGGCGAAGGCGGCUUCCUGGCCAUAUCCUGACGCUGAGGUGCGAAAGCUAGGGGAGCGAACGGGAUUAGAUACCCCAGUAGUCCG
rnacentral:rRNA from 1 species